rnacentral:lncRNA from 1 species
AAACAGAGUGGCUUGUGUUGAGAAUCAGCCCCUAGCAGGGCUUCUCUAGCUGUGUUUGACUCCCGGCUACAGGUGCAGGGGUCUCUGUUCAGGCGCUAUCUGUAGCCGGCCAGCGGCUUUACAGUGAGCAGGACGUCACCUGAAAGGAGGGCUGGAAAUGAGGCGGAUGAGAGGAGAAGGAGCCAAGACUGUGUUCUGAUCAACGCUCAAAGUUUGAUAUUCAGUCCAGCGUUUAUGAAGGGAAACCCACAAAACCCAUCCCCUGGACAGUAACUCGGGGUAGCAACAGCACAGCAGCCAGUCUGAUAAGUUUCUAUUUCUUGGCAGCUCACUAUUUCCAGUACAUCAAAGCUCGCAGCUGCAACCAAGGCAGGUGUCUCUGUUUAGGCCGAUGAAACCUAUUGUAGCAAGCGUUCAAGGUCUGCUUAGCCUGUCCAGGCUGAGGAGGUCACAGGAAACAAAGUAGAAAAGUCCCCUGGUCUGUCACUUAAGGAGGUAAGUCUGUCUUCUGUUUGAACAUAUGGGAAAGGUCGGAUGUGGCUGUGUCCAGGAUCCGUGUGAGAUGUCACUGGAUUCCUCCUGUCUGUUCAAGGGUAUGGAAUGUGCGGCCGCCACCCGAUUGUCUUUAUUGUGUGUGUUUCUCUUCUCUGUAUGUAUGUGUCUCUGUCCGCCUUUCAAUGUGUUUCUGCCAGCUUUGUUUCCCAGUAUUGACCAGUGGCUGUGAGACACUCACCCCACCCCCAGCUUAAGAGCUGUGCCUUUUGUUGGGGACUCAAAUCCUUUUGGCUCUGCCAGGUUGCCCAGAGAAACCAAAAAAGCCUUCGCCUGUCCUGUUCAUGCUCCCUGGGUGGAGGUGGGGCGAGGUCAGGACUCUCAUAGAGGACUCCUGCCAUUGAAGCAGAAUGCACGGGGGUGGGGGUGGGGAUGGGGGGUGGGGUAUUGUUCCCUGAUGUACAUUCCCUCUGCUUCCCAGUCUGCUUCGCUUCUAGCAGGACAAAGGAAGGAGAAAAGAGGAAGCUCUGCUCCUUUCUUCCAUGAUUUAUGUCUCCUUUUCAGUCAAGUCUCUCCAUUCUCUGAAAAAAAAAUAAAAGGAGAAAAACCACCCCUAUGUUGGGCAGGAGGCUCACUACUGGACAAUGCAGCCCCCAACAGAAUGAUUUUUUUCCCUUCUGUCCAACACUGAUCAAGGAAACUGUGGUGGUUUGAAUCAAACUGGCUCCCACAGGCCCAUAGAGAGUGGCACUUUUAGGAGGUGUGGCCUUGCUGGAAUAGGUGUGACUACGUUGGGGUGUGAGGUCUCAGAUGUUCACUUCCUGCUGCCUGUGGAUCAAGAUGUAGAACUCUCAGCUCCUUCACCAGCACCUCGUCUUCCUGCACUCCACCAUAUUUCUCACCGUGAUGAUGAUAGACUGAACCUCUACUGAAACUGUAAGCCAGCCUCAAUUCAAUGUUCUCCUUUAUAAGAGUUGCCUUGCUCAUGGUGUCUCUUCACAGCAGUAAAAACCCUAAAACAGAGAUUUUAAAAUAAUUUUUGCUAGGUCUUUUAAAGAGGAGUAAAGACAGCUGCUAAAAAGCUUAUGAAUAGAAAAGGUAAAAAUUUUAAAGGAAUAAAUAGAUUCCAGCUACUGGAGGUAGCUCAAAAGGUGUUUAACAACAGAGAGAACCAAUUGAGAGACAAGACCUUUUGCAUAAACUGAAAGCCACCAUCACCUUCUCUGAUGAUGAGAUGCAGUUAAACUUAUACAUAACCCACAAAAUUUUGGUGUCCUGCCCUCAGUCAGAAGAGCAAUUUCUAGCUAAUCAAAAUAUACAGUUGUACUCUCUCUCACAUUGACAACAAAGAUUUCCAGGGAUAUAGGCAGAAACCAACCCGCUAGGACUGGCCCAAUUCCAAGUUCCUAUAAUUGUUCAACUAAUAGUUCAGCCACCCGCAUCCAGACUCAACAAUACCCAAUGAUGCUGGAAACACAAAGAGAAACUGCAGUCCACACUACCUGGUUUAGAGAGCCCAGCAUCCUGGGGCCCUGUCAGUCACCCUAGAACACCCCUCUCCUGCCUGUGAAGAAACCUGGGACCUUUGCUUCUCUCGAGUCUGAUUCUUCCAGAGGAGCAGGUGUGCUCUGCCUGGCACCUGACAGCUGUGCUCUUCAGCCUCCCAUGGGCAGAGGUGAGCCAACCCACUUGUGCUUUCACAGUGCCAGGGCCAGAGGGAGGUUACAGCAGGCAACUUACCUGGACCAGGUUGCCUGAGAGAUUUAAAAAUUCUCCAAUCCUGGUUGAUGAGACACUACAUGCUGACCUCCUGCCCUUCCAUCAAAGGUGUCCUGGGACCAUACUCUUAUACUAUAUCCUCUUACCAUGCCUCCUCCUAGCCUCUAGAACUAAAAAGUCAUAAAGGGGCCACUGAGGGACCGCUGCAAGAGUUACAGACCCAGCUUUGUAGACCCAGAGGUUCCCUAUCUUGGCUACCAGCUGUGGGGAGGCAAAAGGAGCCUGUCUCGGAGGACUGCUGCCAUCCUUUGUGGCAUCCCUAGCCUGUAUAGGCCAAGCAGACCUUGAACAUUCGCCAGGCAGGCUGGACAGAUCUUGGCUAAGCAAACCUUGAAUAUUUGCCAUAACGCACAGGAUGGAUAUACAGACCUUGAAAGAUAGGCUUCAUCGGCCUGAACAGAGACACCUGCCUUGGCUGCAGCUUCGGGUUUUGAUGUACUGGAAAUAAUGAGCUGGCAAGAAAUGGAAACUUAACAGAUUAGCUGCUGUGCUGUUGCUACCUCGAAUUACUGUCCUGGGGAUGGGUUUUGUGGGGUUUCCCCUUAUAUAUGCUGUGCUGAAUAUUAAACUUUGAUC